ensembl:lncRNA
AUAUAAGGCUAUAACAUGGUUACGACGGCAAAAUUACCAGCGAUUACUGCGAGAGACUGCACAGUGAUUGAAUGAGAGGAGGGGGGCUUUAUGGCCACAGCGCUGGGUGUCGGAGAAACACACACACACACACACACACACACACACACACAUACAUCACUACUGCGUGGAAAUGAGUACUGGGACCGUUUCAUAUAUAUUCAGUAUUGAUGAUCUACUUUUGAAAAAACUAGAAUCAAGAAACUAAAUCUCUUCACUUGACACUUGGCCGAGGCUGCUGUAGAUGAAGACAUCAUGUUAAGGUACCGUCUGCCCCCUAACAAGGCCAGCCCGGUCCAGUGUAGCUCCUCCAACGUGGUGGGGACGGAUGAGGAGGUUAGAGGGUAUUCAGACUUCAGAGGGGGUACUCAGUUGGCUGCAAUCUGCAACCUCACCACUAGAUGCCACCAAAACCCUUCACACUGCACCUUUGAAAACACCCAAUAACAUGAGGCGAGAACCGCUGCAUUAGAGGGUGAUGAAGAAUCUGUACGACUGCGAAACACACAUCCUACAGACCUCCAUCCUUUAAAACAAUGUUGUUUACCGUAGCCUCAAACAGGCCUGAACUCCACAAACAGGCCUGAACCUAACAAACAGGCCUGAACCUAACAAACAGGCCUGAACUCCACAAACAGGCCUGAACCUAACAAACAGGCCUGAACCUAACAAACAGGCCUGAACCUAACAAACAGGCCUGAACUCAACCAACAGGCCUGAACUCAACAAACAGGCCUGAACUCAACAAACAGGCCUGAACUCAACAAACAGGUCUGAACUCAACAAACAGGCCGGAACUUAAAAAACAGGCCUGACCUUAAUAAAACAGGCCUGACCUUAACAAACAGGCCUGCCAACAAUGCUAACAGGCUAACUGACUCAAAAAUAAACACGCUAACAAGCCAACAGGCUCACAUGCCAAUGGGCUAACAUGCUUAAAAGCAGACAGGCUAACAAGCUAACAGGCUUGUGGCGUUCUAUCAGUGCAGCGGACCUGAGUGUUGUCAUGGAAACAUCUGGUCGAUGGUUGCAUUUGACCGUUGUUCAUUUUGGAUUUGUAUAGCAUGGACUGUUAACAUGCAGAUGUGUAUCGUCAUUGAUAAAUAAUGCACACACACAAACACACUCACACACACACUCACACACACACACAACACAAACCCACACACGCUAAAACCCAUAUCAGAACAGGGUAUCAGAAAAGGUAAAACCCAUAUCAGAACAAGGUAACACAAACCCACACAAGCUAAAACCCAUAUCAGAACAGGGUAGCGCACACACACACACACACACACACACACACACACACACACACACACACACACACACACACACACACACACACACACACACACACACACACACACACACACACACACACACACACACACACACACAAAGUUAACUGACCAGUCGGAUCAGGGUAUUCAAGUACAUUGUGUUAUAAAUGGUUAAUGUGUUUUGUGGAGCUCUGCUACUGGUCUAGAGCGCUCGCUCUGCGACAGGUGCAGAGCGAGCUGGCGCUCUCCGUGGGAGCGGUUCAGGAGCAGGGUGUCAUCCCAAUACACACACGGGUCAGGGUCUGCAGCUGGGUCACGGGUUAAUGACAAACCAAGAACACAAGGAAGUAGAGACCCCCCACACACACACACACACACACCAGGGUGAAACCCAUAUCAGGACAAAGUAACACAAACACACACAAGGUAAAACCCAUAUCAGAACAAGGUAACACAAACACACACAACCCAUAUCAGAACAAGGUAACACAAACACACACAACCCAUAUCAGAACAAGGUAACACAAACACACACAACCCAUAUCAGAACAAGGUAACACAAACACACACACACAAUCACACACACACACAACCAAU